rnacentral:rRNA from 1 species
GGGGGGGGGCAAGCGUUGUUCGGAAUUACUGGGCGUAAAGGGCGUGUAGGCGGUCCUGCAAGUCUUUCGUGAAAUCCCACAGCUCAACUGUGGAACUGCGAGGGAAACUGCAGGACGUUGAGUCCCGGGAGAGGUAGAGUCGGAAUUCCCAGUGUAGCGGUGAAAUGCGUAGAUAUUGGGAGGAACACCGGUGGCGAAGGCGGCUCUCUGGACCGGUACUGACGCUGAGGCGCGAAAGCUAGGGGAGCAAACCGGGAUUAGAUACCCCGGUAGUCCUAGCCUUAAACGAUGAGCACUUGGGUGUGGCGGGUAGUCGACCCCUGCCGUGCCGAAGCUAACGCAUUAAGUGCUCUGCCUGGGGAGUACGGUCGCAAACGGCUG